rnacentral:rRNA from 1 species
GGGGACUCCGAGUGUGAGGGCAUAUAGCCCUCGCUUUUCUGAACCGUAAGGUGGUACAGGAACAAGGACUGGGCAAGACCGGUGCCAGCCGCCGCGGUAAUACCGGCAGUCCAAGUGAUGGCCGAUAUUAUUGGGCCUAAAGCGUCCGUAGCUUGCUGUGUAAGUCCAUUGGGAAAUCGACCAGCUCAACUGGUCGGCGUCCGGUGGAAACUACACAGCUUGGGGCCGAGAGACUCAACGGGUACGUCCGGGGUAGGAGUGAAAUCCUGUAAUCCUGGACGGACCACCAAUGGGGAAACCACGUUGAGAGACCGGACCCGACAGUGAGGGACGAAAGCCAGGGUCUCGAACCGGAUUAGAUACCCGGGUAGUCCUGGCUGUAAACAAUGCUCGCUAGGUAUGUCACGCGCCAUGAGCACGUGAUGUGCCGUAGUGAAGACGAUAAGCGAGCCGCCUGGGAAGUACGUCCGCAAGGAUGAAACUUAAAGGAAUUGGCGGGGGAGCACCACAACCGGAGGAGCCUGCGGUUUAAUUGGACUCAACGCCGGACAUCUCACCGGUCCCGACAGUAGUAAUGACAGUCAGGUUGACGACUUUACUCGACGCUACUGAGA